GAGGGCAAAGAAAGAACGGGGAAAAGAAGGAAUCGAGAAUAAAAGAGGGAAAGGGUGAGGGAAGAGGGGGAGAAGAUGCAUUGCCUUUGUUGGUUCUACCGCUCCCAUCUCGCCUCUCCUCCGUUCCUUUCUUUUCCUCUCCUUCUUCUUCCCUUGGCGUCUCCAAGGUCUCGUCUCCUCUUGCGAUGCGCCGCUGGAGGAGAGCGGCUCCCCCCACCGCUGUCAGUCGCCGGCCGCCGCCGAGGAGUCCAUGUCCUCUGUCGCAGGAGAAGAUAAGUUGAAAGAUACCUCUUUUUCGUUCUUCGGUUCUCGUUCUUGUCGAGUCUGAAAUCAUGAUUCUUGAGUCGAGAUUUCUUCGUUUCUUGAUUCGAUUAGAAAGAUAAAGAGUUUUAUUUAAUGCUUUGCUAUUCUUUAAUCUUCUCAGACUUCAUAACCUUUUUUCACACAUGCGUAACUGUUUUGCUCAAACCCCUCGUUCUGUCUUCGUUUCUUGGUUUUCUUUAUUGGACUGAUCGUGUGGGCAGACUCGUUGGAUUGACAUUUUGAUUUUUUUUUUAGAUUUAGUUCUUGUUUUCUCGUUCUUUCUAUAAUGUUUGAAUCGGGAUGGAGGGGAGUUGUUAAUGUUUGUAAAAUCUUUGAUUAAUGGAUGAUGAAAGCUCGGCCUUUAUCCAGUGUGUAAGCACCGUGGUCGCCUCUGAGAUGAGUUGCUCGUUUGGUAUGCACAUGACUCAUUUUUCUUGAACACCUCCUUCUUUCUUAAUUUCGUGUUCUCUUGAUUGAGUUGAUAAUUUGUGCAGACUUUUCUGGUCUGAUCUUUUCAUCAUGUUCGAACUGGGAUGGAGAUAAUUGUUAAGAUUGUGGAGAUUAUAGGUCUGCACUUAUAUCAGCCGGCUGGACUUCUUGUGCUAUUAUCUAGAAGUCAUCUGUUGAUUUUCCCUUUUAUCAAUUGUCUGAUGCAUUUUACUGGAAUAUGGCUAUCAAUGCUCCUUUUAGCAGCUUUUUUCAGACAAUCUUAUUGUGACCUUCCGUGUAGCUAAUUGCUAUGCAUGCUUUUUCCAUAGGAUGAGAACAGGGUGCUAAUUUUUUCCUAAGCGUCCUGCUUAUUUUUCAGGAUUUAGUCACUUUGAAAAGAAAGAAUCAGAUUUUCAUUAUGGGGUUGUGCAGGUUCGAGAAGAUGCCGAAUCAAUUGCCUUUUAUGGUGGUGAGGCAUACGAGGAUGCAUUGAUGUUGUUCCUUGACAUGAAUUGGGCAGCUGACAUGAAGCCUAUAUGGUGAGACCAUCAUAUGCUUAAUGCCCACCUUCUUGUGAUAUAUGAUGGAUCAACAGGGAGAAGCAAUGGAAGUAACCCAGAAUGUGCGUUGAGGUCAGAAGAUGAAUCUGAUAAGCCUAAGAAGUCCACAGUCGAUGGUCUGAUCCCCAUGCUCAAGGUUGUUUGGGUUGGAGACGUCUUGUGUUGUUUCAAUGGUCUGGAUUCCAUAUAUGAAUGGUCAGUUGUACUUUCUCUUGGUGAGCAAUGGCGCUUGCAUUUGCUCUUCUGUUACUCUCAAAGCCAAAACUGGUUUUAUUGGAUGAGUGCACAAGAUGAUACCAAUGUGGUGUGUUGUGAUAGUCAACCUUCUUUUACUCUUGAAUAGUUGGGUUCUUGUAGGUUCCUUUAUUAGUCAUGUAAGUUAAAACUACCAAUGACACAUUUUAAAUUUUUCAGGUGAGAGA